ensembl:lncRNA
GAGCUCAUUCGUGAUGUUCUGUAGAGCUCCACAAGUGAGCUGUUAGAAAGUUUUGCUCUCAAUUUCCCCCUGUGCUCACCUCUUAACUGUUGCAGGACCUGAGCCAUGUUCCCUUCCUCUGCCACAGCACAAAGCCAGGUACCUGCUGGCCUUUGGGGAGCAGCACAUUUCAGCAUCUCUCCUCCUCUACACACUCAUCCCUCUUUGCUGUGCUGAAUCUGCAUGCUCUGCAGAGGAAGAGUGUGAAGAGAAGGCAGUCCAGCAUAAAGCAUGGCUAUCUUCCUAGCAGGAGAACUGGGACUGCACUUUCUGGGGAUGGCCCCCAUGCACUGAGCCUGCUUUGUAGCCAGGAGCGCUGGCACAUCAUCUGAUAUCUCCCACAUGUCUGAUGGCCCUGAGCAGGGUGAGCGUGGGUGUCACAGCACCUCUCCGAAAAAUCAGAGUCCUGGGCCAGCCAGGUAAGGCCACUGUGCUUCUGCAAGCUGAGCAGGGGAAGGCCACAAGCACAGUUCGGUGAUGGUGCUGUCCCUGUGUACAUGAUGGACAUAUGCAACUGGCACACAGGGCUGUGAUGUACUUCUGCAUAGGUUUUGGAAAGCUGAGGACCAGCAGGGAUGUGGAGGCUGGUUCUCCCUGAUACUCUACUGCAUAACGUUAGCUGGCAAUGGAGCGAUCCUUUAGAGGAAGACAGGUUUCUCAGAGCCCCAACAAGCAGUGCGGCUGCAUGGCUGCCAGCUCCACCAGUGAAACCGGGUGCUAGUUCCAUCCUGCCUCUGGGGCUCUGCUGAGGUUGUCCGCCAGCACAUCGACUCUUCUGAAUCCAGCGGAGCGGCACUGACUGCAGCACAGCGUGGGAAAGCCUCACAGCUUGGCGAUGUCUGUGAGCUUGCUGAAGAGUCUGACAACGGCCAUUCACUGGAAUAUAUUCAAAGCAAUGGGGAUGUCUAAAGCUUUAACUCCUAAUCCGAUGGGGAAAAAAUCGGUUUGGCACAAAAUUUACUUGUUACGUGAACUGGUGGGUUUUAACAGUCUCUAGAGUCUACGUCUCAAGUCAGGAAUUUAUUUCCUCUGUUUUCUCACUGAAUUGUUUAAUGUUGGUUGGUAAUACGGACAAAAUUUGUUGUUUUUUUUUUAAUACAAAUGCCAUUAAAUGAGCUGUCUGUGCAUUGGAAAUGGACCUGCUGUUUCCAGGGGAUUAAGACAUUUCUACCUUCUCUUUUAUUCUGGUGCUCAGCAUUCAUUACAUAGCAGUCACUGGUCUCUGAAAACAAUUCAGAUUUUUAUUUGAUCUGUUGUAGUUAAUAGAAGAUUUAUUCACAGUGUUUGGGAUUUUGUAUGGUAGAUGCUAACUUUGAUGCUAACUUCCAUGCUGCCUGGGGAUUCCCAACCUUUGGGAUUUUUGGCUGGCGCUGUUUUGUACAGUCUGUAAGCAUCAUGCAAAUAGCCAAACUACCAAGCAAGGGGAAAAAAAUCAAGGAAAUAUAAACUGUUCUUUACAAGUACUGUAUUAUUCUUACACUAGAAAAAAUAAACUCUUAACAUAAAUUUUACUGACACUGUCUUCACCAUUUCAGCUGUUCUUUUUGUGAACAGAGAAGACUCUGCGGUGUUCCUCAUGCCUAGAAUUUGAUCUGCUCUGUGAAGGCUUGUGAUCCUGCUGAGAUUGUCUUCUGCAUCAUUAUAGCAUGUUCUCAACUGGCCUAAAUCACAUGUAGCCUUAAGUAGCACCAGGUCUGCUCCAUAUUGCUCCUGCCAGGAUUCCUCCUUCCCUUCUACUGUGUUGCGGGAUGUGAAAGGCAGAGCAGAAAUACCCGCAGCACUCAAGACUUACACAGGCUGGCAUGGGGAGAAGUGAGAAGUGGAUGGCAGUGCCACAAGCCCAAGUGCUGCUGGUGGGCAGAGCUUGGUGCUGGCCCUGCAGAGCUCAGUGAGGAGUGCUCCUCUGGGCCUCAUGUUUCUACCCACCUUGUUGUCACAGAUGGGUCUGGGUCUGAAACGUGCAGCAGAGGACGUCACCCAGCCACUGCUUCAUUGUCAGGGCUCGUCUGUGCCUGCAUGACCCACAUACCUCUGGGUCAUCUCGAGACCUAUCAGGCAGAUCGAGUUAUUCAAGACAUAAAGAAAUGGCAAAAUAGCAGAGUGUAGUGAAGGUAAAUGGAAAGGCAGUGGAAAAGCCUGGCAAACGCAGUAGAAGUUUUUGUGCUUUUUUUUUCUAAAGAAGGCAAGCGUAAUCCUCAUCUUUAAGCCAUCCUUUAAUAUCCUACUUCGUUUUACACUGGAAUUAGAAAAUCUUUUCCAUUUGUUUUAAUUAUCUGCUGACUUUAAUUCUGCCUUUGAAAAACGUUUUUGCUAUGACAACCCCAGCUAUCGUGGUGAGUAGCGUUAGGGAAAAACAGCUGAAGUAAAGCUUUUAUCUUUCCCCGCAUGCAGCGUUUAAUCUUUCUAAUCUUUUAAUGUGAAUGUGUUUUCUCCCAUCCUGAAAAUUGACAAGAUUAGGACUCUCUCUCACAAAAUAGCAGUUCAAAAGCACGUUUUGCUUAAACAUAGCUAGCGCAGUACAUAAUCAACUAGCAAAGUGUGAGAAUUCCUGCAAGUGACCAAUUGAUUCUCAGAGUUGAACCUGUGUCUAAGGCUAACUUCCACAUGCCGACUUUUCUAGCUCUGCCUAAACUCAACUUUUUUAAGAACAGUUUUUAAAAAAUGUAGAUUUUAAUUCCUUUGUUUUAUAUAAAAAGGCUGUUAAAAGAUCCACUGUUUUGCCAAACAAUUAUAUUUCUAUGCAUUGUGUCAUUCGGUGGUGUUGCUGUUGAGAUUUUGCAUGUUUUCUGGACGUUCUGACAUCCGUACAUUUAUGUGCUACUUGUAGAAAUGCUAACCAUUGCUGCUGUGAUCACCACCGCUGAAAAACUGAGAGCUGUACUAAGAAGCUGUGCCAGUCAGCAGGUAUUUCUGUGUGUGUCACAGUAAAUCUCUGCGUUAGGAUGUUGUUUCCUGUGUUAAGCCAGUGCUCAGUGCCUUCUGGAGGAGGAACCAACAUGUUGCAGUAGGCUGGAGGUGCUGAACGUCUCGUGUCUUCUUUGGAACAGCUGAUCACUUAUCAGCUUGAUGCUUUAAAAAAAAAGUAUUAAAAAGCCACUUGAAUUCUCCAUCUUCCUUUGAGGCUUCUUCUCAUCAAUUCUAAUUUGGAAUAAAAAAAAUAAAGAUGCCCAACCAACGGCCUUGAUGAAGCUAAAGGCUCCUGCAGCCAUCUGCCAGCUGUGAAUGUGGGGGGCAAGGGGAGAUGUGCAGCACCCAAACGUUCCUGUGUGUAGCAGAUCCGGCGAUCAGCCAAGCCUGUGAGAGCUGUUGUGGAGCUCGCUAAAAAAUGCCUGCUAAUGAAAACAAUCCUCUAAUUACUGUAAGAAACUGCCAGCUCUCCUAGCAGCUGUGAGCCUGCUCCUGUAAACAAGUGUCAGCCUGGUCAAGUGGCGGAUUCCAGUCCCUUUCCCACCUCUGUUGGAGCCACACUUUGCUGCCAAAUGAGCCUUGGAUGAAAUUCAAGCCCAAGAUUUUUGGCCUCAUUCUUUCCAAUUGCUUUCAUGGCAGACGGGCUCUGUUUAUCAAAAUUCUGACACUGCAUUUUCAGCUCCUUCUCCACCUUCCCCUUAGAAUCUGGCAGUAUAGCAGAUACGCGCAUACACAGAAUAAAUUCUGACUUCACUGAGGUUUUGACAGGCUGAAAUCAUACCAUAUUGUAUUUGUACAACAGAAACAAGCUGUGGGGAAAGGCGUGAUCUGUCACAGAUCCCUGCCGCCAGGCACGGUCAGCUGCACCUGGUAUGCUCUGGAAGUACUGUCAUGUGGAAGCAAUGAAAGGCUGUAGCCAUCAGUUCUGCAUCUCUGCUGACAGGUCAAAGCCUUCUAAAUAUCUUGAAAAGUUUUUCAAAUCAGA